UGGAGGCUGGCAACCCUAUCAGGCAUGUAUUUUGAAAUGAAACAUUCCCAUUAACUUCUUUCGUGUAUUAACUUAAGUGGUGUGUACCUGCUUUCUUGUGGCCCAAGGAGGCUUGGAACAAGUCUAUUUAGUUCCAAGUAUUUAAAUUUACCAGUACUUACAAUAGAGAUUUUGCUUUAUUUCCUUUUAUUGGACUAAACAACAGGCCCUAUUAAGCGACAGUUGAAUAUAAAAUUUUCGAUAAUAUAUGAAUUUCCUUUUAUUGAAGAUUUGUGAGGACAUGCACAUUUGCGGGGAGAAGCAUUCACCUGGAAAGUAGCUUCCUUCGGAUACAUUUCGGAGCCACGGUGCAGAUAAUGAAAAAGGGGCCGGCCAGUUUGAAGCUGGAAACGCAGAGAAUUUUUUUUUUUUUGAGAAAUUCCUCUUCUCUUAAUGAGUAACUGCACUUUUCUUCAAGUUGCGGUCCUCUGCAUCUCCCCACCCCCGUCCCUGCGUUAGAAAGAGCCUCACGCCUGACUAUCAGCCUCCAACCCUUUCCUUCGUUAUGCCCACAAGAAACAAGGCAGGCUUUUGGAAGCUCACAAUCCACGUUGGUAGGUAGGGAGAAAGAAAUAAAGAAAAGCAGCCGUUGAAGGCAGGCUUUUCAGUCGCCUGGGCUUGCGAAAGGCACAGGUCAAGAGCAAACCUGAAACGCCAGUCAGAGCAGCGGCGCCACGUGACUCCCUGCGGAGCAAGCGCAAGCUAUCCAUGGGGGGGGGGGAGUGGGGCGAGGAAGGAUAUUAUCGCCCCUCUGCGGCUGUGGUGCUUCCGGUUUCAGGACGCAGGGAUGUUUCCUGUUCAACUCCCCACCCCUAGAGACGCCGGGGCGGCUCUGCCGGAAGAGACUGUUAUCGUGGACAUUUCAUUGGAAGCUCGCUCUCACUCUAGGCCCACCCUCCGCAUGUAACCCGGCUCCAAGAAGGCGCCGGGCGUGGGAAGUGGCUUCCGUGGCGUCUGCUUCGUGUUGGGAGCGGGACGAUGGAGGCAGCGGAGGUCCGAGAGCGCGGAGCAGGGGAGCGGGACUCGCCCACUGGCGCCUUGACGGCCCCUGCGGGGAAUGGAGGCCGCGGGCCCGCCCUCUCCGGACAGUCCUACUGGAUGGACGUUUGGCUCAUGCUCCUCAUCGACUUGGUGCUCUUCGUCUUCGUCUAUCUGCUGCCUUGAAGUCCCGGCGGGAUAGAUUGAGUCCACUACAGAAAAUGGGUCACUACCUUCAGCAUCACUUCCAUUUAUAACAGAACUGAUCAACACUGGAACUUUUAUGUACAAAUGGAUCAAGACAUGGUGCCUUCCUCAGCUGAAUCUGAACUGCUGGUUCGUGUUUUCAGGUUCUUGGAUGUAGUUUCAUGAAUGGAUUUGGAAGAGAGAUGUGAUUUCAUCAUUUAGUCUUCAAGCUAAAACACUGGAAGUUGUGCCUUACAUCAGAUGUUAUGCUGUUAGCAUAUUAAACAUUUUUCACGACUUUGAA